rnacentral:lncRNA from 1 species
AAAAGGAAAAAGUCAGUUACAAGUUGAAAUCUAUUCUGAGAACCCAUAGAACUCAAUAGUGAGAAUACAAUUUGGUAUUCAAGAGGAUGAAAAACACAUCCCCCAAGAAGAGAUUAAUAGAAAACACUCAAUAUUUCACAAUUGCCUUUAAACCCUUCACCCUCCCACACACACGGAGGUACAAUCCCCAAACACUGACCCAAAACAUCUUCAGGCAGUGAAUUAGAGCAACAGAAACCUUUAUUGACUCCUGGUGGCCAUUCAGAAUAGCACAGCUACAUUGGAGGAGUCUAGCAGCUUCUUGCUAAACUAGAUACAGUCUUAGCAUAAAAUCCAACAACUUGUUACUUGCUGUGUUUUAAAUCAGUUGAAAGUCAUGCCCUCCACACACUUGCACAAGUAUGCACACAUGCAUAUGUUUGAGGAGUUUGGUUCAGAAGUGGAAAACACUGAAGAGAGUACAGUAACCUUCAGCAAGUGAAUGAAUAGACAAAUGAUGAUAGACAUAUUUUAUUUAGAGAUAAAGUGAACAGCUAUUUUUAUUGGGUAGGAAAAAUACGGGGGAAGACUUAACAGCAUAUUACUAGAUGAAAUGAGACAAUAUGAAAAGGUUUUGCACACACACACAAACACACACACACAGAGCAAUAUGACAUUGUGAUAGAGGCAAUACUAGGGUACAGUAAAGGUUAGGGCUUAGGCAGGAUGCAAAAAUCAAUGAGAUGGAACCUAGGACUUUUAGAGUAGUGAAACCAUUUUGUGCAAUGCUACAAUGCUGAUUGUCCAUAAUUAUGAAUUUGUCAAAGCCAUAGAAUGUGGAACAGCAAGUGUGAAUGUAUGGUAGUAUGAACUCUGGACUUGGAGUGAUGAUAGCGUGUCCUACACCACUGUGAGGCAGGAUGCUGGUAAUGGGGGAGGCUGCCCACCAAUGGUGACUGAACACAUGGGAACUCUCUCAACUUUUCACUCACUACCUUCUUGCAAGUCUAAGUCUGACUUAAAAAUUAAAUAUAUUAAAACUUAUCUGAUAUAAAUAAUACUAUUAUAGUUAUCCAGACAGAGCAGACUCCAUCAUUUGGGACAGAAUGAUGUUAUAGAACUCCACUCCUUGGACAGAGGUUGACUAUAAUAGCAUAGGCGUUAUUUGAUUGAUCCUCUACUUGCUGCAAAUAUUUUAUUUACUUUUUUGUUUGUUGGAGAUGGUGUCCCAGUGUGUAGACCGCACUGGCGUUUCACUCAUAGAGAGCCAUCAUCCUCUGCCCUCUGAGUGCUGGAAAUAGGAAUGGCCACCACUACAUACAGCUCUGACUGUGUUUCAUUCUGAGGUGACUGGGCAGGAGCUCAGAAGGUGCAGAGAGCCCUUCCCUUCCCGGAAACCUGAUCCUAGACAGAAAGCACACUGUACCUUCCAUGUUACCAAGAACUGUACAUUACAUUUAACCGUUCUGAGUGAUGCAAUUCUACAAUGACUGUUAC